AGUCAGCAAGAAGAUGGAAGAUGUAUCACCCAAGCACAUGGGAAGUGAAGAAGAUCUCCUUCCACACUGCCUGUCUUCUGCACUGGAACUCCCUGAAGACAGAAAAAGAAGAGACAAAGAGAUACAAGACAAGGCCAUGUGAAGACAGAGGUAGAGAUUGGAGUGAUGCUGCCACAAGGCAGAUACCACCUAAAGCCCCCAGAAGAUGAAAGAGGCAUGGAAAGAUUCUCCCCUACAUCAUUCUAAGGUAGUGUGGCCCUGUCUACACUUUGAUUUCAGAAUUCUGGCCCCACAACUUCGAGAGAAUAAAUUUUGUUGUUUUAAGCCAUGCAGUCAGU
rnacentral:lncRNA from 1 species